rnacentral:rRNA from 1 species
AUUGAACGCUGGCGGCAGGCCUAACACAUGCAAGUCGAACGAGCGGCGGACGGGUGAGUAAUGUAUGGGAAACUGCCCGAUAGAGGGGGAUAGCUACUGGAAACGGUAGCUAAUACCGCAUACCAUCAGAUGUGCCCAUAUGGGAUUAGCUAGUAGGUGGGGGAACGGCUCACCUAGGCGACGAUCUCUAGCUGGUCUGAGAGGAUGACCAGCGACACUGGGGCUGAGCCACGGUCCAGACUCCUCCGGGAGGCAGCAGUGGGGAAUAUUGCACAAUGUGCGCAAGCCUGAUGCAGCCAUGCCGCGUGUAUGAAGAAGGCCUUAGGGUUGUAAAGUACUUUCAGCGGGGAGGCGUUAACCGCAGAAGAAGCACCGGCUAACUCCGUGCCAGCAGCCGCGGUAAUUC